AGGACGAACGCUGGCGGCGUGCCUAACACAUGCAAGUCGAGCGGGGUCCAUCCAGUGGCAACACUGGUGAAGACCUAGCGGCGAACGGGUGAGUAACACGUGAGAAACCUGCCCUGAAGUCUGGGAUAACCCGAGGAAACUCGAGCUAAUACCGGAUGUCCCCACCGAGCCGCAUGGUUUGGUGAGGAAAGAUUUAUCGCUUCAGGAGGGUCUCGCGGCCUAUCAGCUAGUUGGCGGGGUAACGGCCCACCAAGGCAUCGACGGGUAGCUGGUCUGAGAGGACGAUCAGCCACACUGGGACUGAGACACGGCCCAGACUCCUACGGGAGGCAGCAGUGGGGAAUAUUGCGCAAUGGGCGAAAGCCUGACGCAGCAACGCCGCGUGCGGGAUGAAGGCCUUCGGGUUGUAAACCGCUUUCAGUGGGACGAAAACGAGACGGUACCCACAGAAGAACGCCCGGCCAACUACGUGCCAGCAGCCGCGGU
rnacentral:rRNA from 1 species